rnacentral:rRNA from 1 species
GACGAACGCUGGCGGCGUGCCUAAUACAUGCAAGUCGAACGCAGUGGGGACGGGUGAGUAACACGUGGGUAACCUCCCAUCAGAGGGGAUAACACUUGGAAACAGGUGCUAAUCCGAUACUGAUGGAUGGACCCGCGGUGCAUUAGCUAGUUGGGGGGGUAACGGCUCACCAAGGCCACGAUUCAUAGCCGGCCUGAGAGGGUGAUCGGCCACACUGGAACUGAGACACGGCCCAGACUCCUACGGGAGGCAGCAGUGGGGAAUAUUCGACAAUGGGCGAAAGUCUGACCGAGCCACGCCGCGUGAGUGAAGAAGGUUUUCGGAUCAUAAAACACUGUUGUUGGGGAAGCGGUAUCUAACCAGAAAGCCACGGCUAACUACGUGCCAGCAGCCGCGGUAAUUC